AUUGAACGCUGGCGGAAUGCUUUACACAUGCAAGUCGAGCGGUAGAGAGGUGCUUGCAUCUCUUGAGAGCGGCGGACGGGUGAGUAAUGCCUAGGAAUCUGCCUGGUGGUGGGGGAUAACGUUCGGAAACGGACGCUAAUACCGCAUACGUCCUACGGGAGAAAGCGGGGGAUCUUCGGACCUCGCGCCAUUAGAUGGGCCUAGGUCGGAUUAGCUAGUAGGUGAGGUAAUGGCUCACCUAGGCGACGAUCCGUAACUGGUCUGAGAGGAUGAUCAGUCACACUGGAACUGAGACACGGUCCAGACUCCUACGGGAGGCAGCAGUGGGGAAUAUUGGACAAUGGGCGAAAGCCUGAUCCAGCCAUGCCGCGUGUGUGAAGAAGGUCUUCGGAUUGUAAAGCACUUUAAGUUGGGAGGGAAGGGUAGGUAACCUAAUACGUUGCUACUUUGACGUUACCGACAGAAUAAGCACCGGCUAACUUCGUGCCAGCAGCCGACGG
rnacentral:rRNA from 1 species